rnacentral:rRNA from 1 species
AACACUGUUAUAAGAGAAGAACGGCACUGAGAGUAACUGUUCAGUGUGUGACGGUAUCUUACCAGAAAGGAACGGCUAAAUACGUGCCAGCAGCCGCGGUAAUACGUAUGUUCCAAGCGUUAUCCGGAUUUAUUGGGCGUAAAGCGAGCGCAGACGGUUAUUUAAGUCUGAAGUGAAAGCCCUCAGCUCAACUGAGGAAUGGCUUUGGAAACUGGAUGACUUGAGUGCAGUAGAGGAAAGUGGAACUCCAUGUGUAGCGGUGAAAUGCGUAGAUAUAUGGAAGAACACCAGUGGCGAAGGCGGCUUUCUGGACUGUAACUGACGUUGAGGCUCGAAAGUGUGGGUAGCAAACAGGAUUAGAUACCCUGGUAGUCCACACCGUAAACGAUGAGUGCUAGAUGUUCGAGGGUUUCCGCCCUUGAGUGUCGCAGCUAACGCAUUAAGCACUCCGCCUGGGGAGUACGACCGCAAGGUUGAAACUCAAAGGAAAUUG